GGGGGACGAUAACGGCGUCGAGCGGCGGACGGGUGAGUAAUGCCUAGGAAAUUGCCCUGAUGUGGGGGAUAACCAUUGGAAACGAUGGCUAAUACCGCAUAAUACCUUCGGGUCAAAGAGGGGGACCUUCGGGCCUCUCGCGUCAGGAUAUGCCUAGGUGGGAUUAGCUAGUUGGUGAGGUAAUGGCUCACCAAGGCGACGAUCCCUAGCUGGUCUGAGAGGAUGAUCAGCCACACUGGAACUGAGACACGGUCCAGACUCCUACGGGAGGCAGCAGUGGGGAAUAUUGCACAAUGGGCGCAAGCCUGAUGCAGCCAUGCCGCGUGUGUGAAGAAGGCCUUCGGGUUGUAAAGCACUUUCAGUCGUGAGGAAGGUAGUGUAGUUAAUAGCUGCAUUAUUUGACGUUAGCGACAGAAGAAGCACCGGCUAACUCCGUGCCAGCAGCCGCGGUAAUACGGAGGGUGCGAGCGUUAAUCGGAAUUACUGGGCGUAAAGCGCAUGCAGGUGGUUUGUUAAGUCAGAUGUGAAAGCCCGGGGCUCAACCUCGGAAUAGCAUUUGAAACUGGCAGACUAGAGUACUGUAGAGGGGGGUAGAAUUUCAGGUGUAGCGGUGAAAUGCGUAGAGAUCUGAAGGAAUACCGGUGGCGAAGGCGGCCCCCUGGACAGAUACUGACACUCAGAUGCGAAAGCGUGGGGAGCAAACAGGAUUAGAUACCCUGGUAGUCCACGCCGUAAACGAUGUCUACUUGGAGGUUGUGGCCUUGAGCCGUGGCUUUCGGAGCUAACGCGUUAAGUAGACCGCCUGGGGAGUACGGUCGCAAGAUUAAAACUCAAAUGAAUUGACGGGGGCCCGCACAAGCGGUGGAGCAUGUGGUUUAAUUUCGAUGCAACGCGAAGAACCUUACCUACUCUUGACAUCCAGAGACUUUCCAGAGAUGGAAUUGGUGCCUUCGGAACUCUGAGACAGUGCUGCAUGCUGUCGUCAGCUCGUGUGUGAAUGUUGGAUAAGUCCGCACGAGCGCAACCUUAUCUGUUGCAGCAGUCG
rnacentral:rRNA from 1 species